ACGUAGGGGGCAAGCGUUAUCCGGAUUUACUGGGUGUAAAGGGAGCGUAGACGGCAGUGCAAGUCUGAAGUGAAAGCCCGGGGCUCAACCCCGGGACUGCUUUGGAAACUGUGCAACUAGAGUGUCGGAGAGGCAAGCGGAAUUCCUAGUGUAGCGGUGAAAUGCGUAGAUAUUAGGAGGAACACCAGUGGCGAAGGCGGCUUGCUGGACGAUGACUGACGUUGAGGCUCGAAAGCGUGGGGAGCAAACAG
rnacentral:rRNA from 1 species